AGCAGCCGCGGUAAUUCCAGCUCCAAUAGCGUAUAUUAAAGUUGUUGCAGUUAAAAAGCUCGUAGUUGAAUUUUGGGUUUGGCCGAUUGGUCCGUUCUUGUAACGAGUACUGGUCGGUUGGGCCUCAUUGUCUGGGGAGGCGUAAUGCCCUUUAUUGGGUGUUGCGAGUAGCCAGGACUUUUAUCUUGAAAAAAUUAGAGUGUUUAAAGCAGGCUUAUGCCGGAAUACAUUAGCAUGGAAUAAUAGAAUAGGACGAUGAUUCUAUUUUGUUGGUUUCUAGGACCAUCGUAAUGAUUAAUAGGGAUAGUUGGGGGCAUUAGUAUUCAAUUGUCAGAGGUGAAAUUCUUGGAUUUAUUGAAGACUAACUACUGCGAAAGCAUUUGCCAAGGAUGUUUUCAUUAAUC
rnacentral:rRNA from 1 species